UACGGAGGGUGCAAGCGUUAUCCGGAAUUACUGGGUUUAAAGGGUGCGUAGGCGGAUUUGUAAGUCAGGGGUGAAAGCCCGCAGCUUAACUGCGGAACUGCCUUUGAUACUGCAGAGCUUGAAAAAGGUUGAGGUCAGCGGAACGUGACAUGUAGCGGUGAAAUGCAUAGAUAUGUCACAGAACACCAAUUGCGAAGGCAGCUGGCUGGGACUACUUUGACGCUGAGGCACGAAAGCGUGGGGAGCGAACAGG
rnacentral:rRNA from 1 species